UAAAUGUUACUAUCUUAUAAAUUUCUUUGCAUAUAAUGUAUUUAAUACUGAAAAAAUACAGGACUCUCAUCAAAUAAAUCAACAAACAUUAGAUGCCUGCCAUGAGCUUGCAUUGUUGUAGAUUUAUCAGUUUAAGCAUCUAAAGAGAGAGAGAGAAGUAAUACUGUUUUUCGGGAAAAACAAAACAAGCAAAAAACUGACAAAAAACUCCCUCUGUAGAUAUGAAGUUUAUUGAGCAAUUUAUUAAGUUACAAAUUAUAGUAGUGGAUAAAGCUCUACUGAAAUGGACUAAAUCGAGACUCAACAAAUUGGAUUGGAUCAAAUUUAAAAGGCACUUGAGGGAUGAGCAGGAAGCAGCAAAAUCAAAUGCAAUGGCUCAAAAUCUACUUCUUGGUUCUGGUGGAAGUUUGUACAGAAGAAAGAAAGAGAAUCUUACACGUUGGAGGAGUUGGAGGAGUGCAGAGACUUUGAAAAGUGAUUAAAAGGGAGAGAAGAAAAAAUGCUAAAUACAAUGCAGCCACACCAUAAUAAAACUGCUUUUCCAGUCAUUUAUCUAUGUUAAAAUGUUAAU